rnacentral:rRNA from 1 species
UGAGCUUGAUCCUGGCUCAGGACGAACGCGGGCGGUAUGCUUAAUACAUGCAAGUCGAACGCUGAAGCACUCUGCUUGCAGAGUGUGGAUGAGUGGCGAACGGGUGAGUAACACGUGGGGAACCUGCCCAUAAGAGGGGGAUAACAUCCGGAAACGGGUGCUAAUACCGCAUAGGUGAUCAUAGCGCAUGCUUAGAUCAUUAAAGAUGGCUUCGGCUAUCGCUUAUGGAUGGCCCCGCGGCGUAUUAGCUAGUUGGUGAGGUAAUGGCUCACCAAGGCUGUGAUACGUAGCCGACCUGAGAGGGUGAUCGGCCACACUGGAACUGAGACACGGUCCAGACUCCUACGGGAGGCAGCAGUAGGGAAUCUUCCACAAUGGGCGAAAGCCUGAUGGAGCAAUACCGCGUGAGUGAAGAAGGUCUUCGGAUCGUAAAGCUCUGUUGUUAGAGAAGAACAAGAGGUGUAGUAACUGGCACCUCCUUGACGGUAUCUAACCAGAAGACCGAC